CCCAUGGCUCAGAUUGAACGCUGGCGGCAGGCCUAACACAUGCAAGUCGAGCGGAUGAGAGGAGCUUGCUCCUUGAUUCAGCGGCGGACGGGUGAGUAAUGCCUAGGAAUCUGCCUAUUAGUGGGGGACAACGUUUCGAAAGGAACGCUAAUACCGCAUACGUCCUACGGGAGAAAGCAGGGGACCUUCGGGCCUUGCGCUAAUAGAUGAGCCUAGGUCGGAUUAGCUAGUUGGUGAGGUAAUGGCUCACCAAGGCGACGAUCCGUAACUGGUCUGAGAGGAUGAUCAGUCACACUGGAACUGAGACACGGUCCAGACUCCUACGGGAGGCAGCAGUGGGGAAUAUUGGACAAUGGGCGAAAGCCUGAUCCAGCCAUGCCGCGUGUGUGAAGAAGGUCUUCGGAUUGUAAAGCACUUUAAGUUGGGAGGAAGGGCAGUAAAUUAAUACUUUGCUGUUUUGACGUUACCGACAGAAUAAGCACCGGCUAA
rnacentral:rRNA from 1 species